rnacentral:hammerhead_ribozyme from 1 species
ACUAACUAACGAGUCCCAAAUAGGACGAAACGCGCGUCCUGGAU